UACGGGGGGGGCAAGCGUUGUUCGGAAUUACUGGGCGUAAAGGGCUCGUAGGCGCCAACUAAGUCGGACGUGAAAUCCCCAGGCUCAACCUGGGAACUGCGUCCGAUACUGGAUGGCUUGAAUUCGGGAGAGGGAUGCAGAAUUCCAGGUGUAGCGGUGAAAUGCGUAGAUAUCUGGAGGAAUACCGGUGGCGAAGGCGGCAUCCUGGACCGACAUUGACGCUGAGGAGCGAAAGCUAGGGGAGCAAACGGG
rnacentral:rRNA from 1 species